rnacentral:rRNA from 1 species
GUCUAUGGCUAUGCUACCCUGAACAAGCCUGAUCUCAUCUGAGAAGCUAAACAGGGUCGGGCCUGUUAGUACUUGGAUGAGAGACCAUCUAGGAAGACCAGGUGCUGUAGGCA